AUGGCAAGCAAUAUGCCGCAUAUAAUAUCUGUUGUGAUUCUUUUUAUAAAUCUGUUAAAUUUACUGCAAUCAUCAGAAUGUUCUUCUGUUGCUUUAAAGCAAAAGAUGGCAUUAAAGCAUUUGGACGAAAUGUCAAGAAUUAGACAUGGUUUCUGGCAUGCCGAUGAUGUUGAACUGAUUCCUCGUUCAGAAAAUCUAACACAGGCACAACGUAUCAAAAUGUCAGACAUUUGUCGAUCUUAUGGCAAAGUUUGCUCCAUGGCUGAGGAUUGUUGUUCCAAAUUUUGUGUCAAUUCACUUAAACGUUGCGUUUCUUAGAACAAUAAUAUUCGCAAAUAGUUCUCAAGGACUUCUAUGAUCUAUUAAUGCAUUUUUAAGUUAUACAUUUCAUGGGUUUAUUUAAAUUAAACGACCAUCUAAAGGAAUUUUGGCAAUGGUUGAAGAAAAUAAUUAAAUUUGAUGACCUUUAAUAUUCUAUACAAUGCAAAUUUAAAGCAAACACAAUUUAAGACAAAUAUUUUCUAUGUAAACAAAUCAAAUCAAAUUGAUGGCCACUUUUCGUAUCCAACAAAUGCUGAUUUAAUGUAUUGGAUUACCAGUUAAGGCAAUUAUCUAAAUAUCAAUGAUACUUGAAUAAACUUCUUGAUGGGAGUGCACUUACUUGUCAAA